UAUCGGCGUACUAGCAGCGGGGGACGUGUCCCCGAAUCGGUGCCGAGGGGAGCAAGCCUCAGCAACUAGCUACCUAGAAAAGGUGGAUUGCUGAAUAAUCACGCGUCGUGUGGAGUCUUGGUAGACUGUUAUCAAGUUCGAAGUAAGUCAGAUCCG
rnacentral:sRNA from 12 species